rnacentral:rRNA from 1 species
GGGAAUGAGACACGGCCCAGAUUCUUACGGGAGGCAGCAGUAGGGAAUUUUCCGCAAGGACGAAAGUCUGACGGAGCAACGCCGCGUGAGUGAUGAAGGUUUUUGGAUCGUAAAGCUCUGUUGUUAGGGAAGAACAAGUGCGAGAGUAACUGCUCGCACCUUGACGGUACCUAACCAGAAAGCCACGGCUAACUACGUGCCAGCAGCCGCGGUAAUACGUAGGUGGCAAGCGUUGUCCGGAAUUAUUGGGCGUAAAGGGCUCGCAGGCGGUUUCUUAAGUCUGAUGUGAAAGCCCCCGGCUCAACCGGGGAGGGUCAUUGGAAACUGGGAAACUUGAGUGCAGAAGAGGAGAGUGGAAUUCCACGUGUAGCGGUGAAAUGCGUAGAGAUGUGGAGGAACACCAGUGGCGAAGGCGACUCUCUGGUCUGUAACUGACGCUGAGGAGCGAAAGCGUGGGGAGCGAACAGGAUUAGAUACCCUGGUAGUCCACGCCGUAAACGAUGAGUGCUAAGUGUUAGGGGGUUUCCGCCCCUUAGUGCUGCAGCUAACGCAUUAAGCACUCCGCCUGGGGAGUACGGUCGCAAGACUGAAACUCAAAGGAAUUGACGGGGGCCCGCACAAGCGGUGGAGCAUGUGGUUUAAUUCGAAGCAACGCGAAGAACCUUACCAGGUCUUGACAUCCUCUGACAACCCUAGAGAUAGGGCUUUCCCUUCGGGGACAGAGUGACAGGUGGUGCAUGGUUGUCGUCAGCUCGUGUCGUGAGAUGUUGGGUUAAGUCCCGCAACGAGCGCAACCCUUGAUCUUAGUUGCCAGCAUUUAGUUGGGCACUCUAAGGUGACUGCCGGUGACAAACCGGAGGAAGGUGGGGAUGACGUCAAAUCAUCAUGCCCCUUAUGACCUGGGCUACACACGUGCUACAAUGGACAGAACAAAGGGCUGCGAGACCGCAAGGUUUAGCCAAUCCCAUAAAUCUGUUCUCAGUUCGGAUCGCAGUCUGCAACUCGACUGCGUGAAGCUGGAAUCGCUAGUAAUCGCGGAUCAGCAUGCCGCGGUGAAUACGUUCCCGGGCCUUGUACACACCGCCCGUCACACCACGAGAGUUUGCAACACCCGAAGUCGGUGAGGUAACCUUUAUGGAG